rnacentral:snRNA from 1 species
GUGCUCACUUCGGCAGCACAUAUACUAAAAUUGGAACAAUACAGAGAUUAGCAUGGCCCCUGUGCAAGGAUGACACACAAAUUCGUGAAGCGUUCCAUAUUUUU